UGGGCAACCUGCCCUCAGCUCUGGGAUAACUCCAAGAAAUUGGGGCUAAUACCGGAUAUGACCGCUGACCGCAUGGUCUGGUGGUGGAAAGAUUUAUCGGCUGGGGAUGGGCCCGCGGCCUAUCAGCUUGUUGGUGAGGUAAUAGCUCACCAAGGCGAUGACGGGUAGCCGGCCUGAGAGGGUGACCGGCCACACUGGGACUGAGACACGGCCCAGACCUCCGUACGGGA
rnacentral:rRNA from 1 species